UUCUCACCCUCUAGAGACAGAGGUGAGGCACUGCUGCUUGAUGCCAGCAUGAUCCCUGGAAAGAGAAGAGACCUGCAUCUUCAGCGGCACAGAAGGGAUUGCUGAUGUUAUUGGCCAUACUAAGAGUCAAUGAAAGAAGGAAUCCUCAGGGGAGGAGCGAGCGGUACCACUCUUCCUCUCCGACCCUCCAUUCCUUUCAAAAGAAGAGAAAUCUUUCCAAAAGGAUCUGGGAAAAUUUGUUAAAAUCUUAGAGUUCUUAAAGCUUCAAUGGUUUGAUUUCGGCCAGCAUCGUUGACUGCUGCCAACAUUGUGUGAAGGCACGGCAUCUCUAUGAGUGGAGGAAUGGUGGAGCUUGCAACAGAUGGGGCAACAGCAGUCGUGAAACACUCACACACCGGGGACUCGACAAUAACUCUCAAAUGAAGUUGUGCAACAAGGAAACAGAAAAGGGAUUUCUUGGUUGUGGUUAAGGCUCAUAUCUUCCCCGCUUUUUUGAAUGGAUUUAGUUAGAAAUACAGAUAGGUUAGUUAAGAGUUGAUCCAACUGAAAAUUAAAGAACAAAGUUCUGUCUUGCAACUGUUCAUUUUUCAGGUUUCACAAGACUUGUUUAAUGUAUUUUUCAUGCAUAAAAAAAAAAAAAAAAUCCACCAGCACCUACCAGUCCGUUCACCAGACCUCAAUGUCCCUCCCAGCAGGUGGUGUGUCCACAUGGAAGGGGUUUCCUGUUGUUUCUUCAGACCGAAACCAUGUGCGUGCUGGUAAGAUAUCUCCCCCAUCCUGGCUCAUGGAAGAUGGCCACAUUUGAAGCAGGGAGAAUAUAUUGAUUUCUUCUUACCAAAUGAUGCUGUUUUCCUAUGUAGUCACAUCCACCAUGACUGAAAGAACAAGAACCAAGAAGAAGAGUUACUCCUCCUCUGCAUCUCAUCAGGAUGUGUCCUGCAGGCCUCCAUCUGAGCGUUUCCUAAGCAUAUUCCGCUGGGAGACGGCAAGGCAAUUUCAUUUGUUUAGCACAUUUGCAUGAUUUACAUGAUUAGAAGGAAUGUACAACAAGAAAAUAAGCAAAAAGCAUUACAUUACACUGACAAAGUAAGGUAAAAUGAUGACAGGUUUUCUAAAAAGUCUACACUUUAUGAGUUUCCAGUUGUUACUAAUCAAAAACUGUUCUAAAAACAGUGAGGUUUUAGGCUUGAUUUAAAAGAAAUCAGUAGUUCAGAAAAUAUGGAAGUUUGUUACCAAAAUAGAGGAGCAUAAAAACUGAAUGAUUCUCUAAGAAGAGAAAUGUACUGACUGUCGAACUUGGCUUAAAAAAAUUUAACUAAAGCAUUUCCAUGAAUUAAGCACAAACUAUAUAAUGUCCCAGCAAAACUGCCUCAAAAUAGUCCUUUGCAACUGCAACAUUAAACAUGUGGAUAAUGCCAUAAUGAUUGAUAGGAAAAGUAAAUAUUGCUAUUGUUUUCUUGUCAUUAAAAUAUUCUUGAAACAGUGCAGGUUUUUUGGUUACAUUUCAAAUCAAAACAAGUUAAUUCAGUCAGUAAAUAUCACUGUGUGGAAAAGUUUUAGCUUUAGCUUUUCACCUAACUGGAGUCAAGUCUUGAACGAGAUUCCUUGGUAAAUAAUACAAAAAAUGUCAACAUACUGUAA